rnacentral:rRNA from 1 species
AUGACACUUAAGCACAGAGACUUGAUCCAUUCGGGUCGGGUCGCUACAAUUUUUGUCUUGGAUAAGAUAUGUUUCAGUGCUAUGGAAACUAUGGAGGUAAAGAGAGUUUACCUGAAGAUCGAGCAUGGUUAUACUUUCAACGUCAAAUUAUACAAUGCAGACACGUACACCUAUUUUGAAUGCAAAACUUGGCAAGCACUAUGCAAGGCUUAUGCAUUUGAGCCUGAUAUGGUUAUCACCUUUGAUAUUCGUCCGGAAGAUGAUAUUGAAGGUAAUAGAGACAUCUGGGUCGAUGUGCAGACGCCUCCAGUUCUACCAUUCUCUUAUUUCCAUUCAAGCAAAUAUGUCCGGCGCUUGGUAGACAGGACCUACUACUGUCCCGGAGUUGAACUAAACUGCGAGGAGAUAAGUCAUUAUGUUUCAUGGCUUGAGGAUUUUGAUGCUGUUAAGAGAAAUCAUUUCCCUGAAUUUGAAAAUCUUAGUACUCAAAACGUGCGACCAAUAGUGAUCGUAUUGAACUACGGUCACAUGUAUUUAGGAAAGAUGGAACUCCCGAUGAAAGUUGUGCCUCAGUGGAUCGAGACUAAAGGUUGCAUGUCAAUUGUUAGCUUACGGCCAAGAUAUCCUACAGUGCACAUGAGUGCAUUCAGGAUUUCUGAAAGCGAUGAAUGCUUAAUAGUGAAAGAUUGGAGCAAAAUUGUUAACGAUCGUAGAGAAGUACUAGGGGGCAGCAAUCAGAAGCGCAGCCCACGAUUAGGAGACAGGUUCAUCUGCAUGCUCCAAUAUGAUGAAUCAGGAGAGCUAUACAUGUUCUAUGCUAUUUUACCUGAGAGAGAGCAGCAGGAGUGA